rnacentral:rRNA from 1 species
GAUUUAACAUUUCAAUCUAUUUAUUUACAUUAAUUAAUACAAAUUUUCUAAAAUAUAAAAAGAUAUUUAUAAAAAAAAAAGACGAUAAGACCCUAUCGAACUUAACUUAAGUUAAACUGGGGUAGUAAAUUAAUUAUUAUUUUAAUAAAAAUUUUUAAACAAAUAUCCAUUUCAAUUGAAUUAUUCAGUUACCGUAGGGAUAACAGCGCAAUUAUAUUUUAAAGCUYUUAUAUAAAAAAUAGAUUACGACCUCGAUGUUGAAUUAAUAACCUAAUUUUAAAGCAAAUAUUAAUAUAGGAAGUCUGUUCGACUUUUAAACAAUUACAUGAUUUGAGUUCAGACCGGUGUAAGCCAGGUCGGCUUCUAUCUUUUAUAAAAAUUCUUACAGUACGAAAGGACCUAAAAACUUAAUUUAAUUAAUUAAUUAAUUGGCAGAUUAAUGCAUUAGAAUUAGAAUCUAAUUAAACUUAAU